ACUCCUACGGGAGGCAGCAGUGGGGAAUAUUGCACAAUGGGCGCAAGCCUGAUGCAGCCAUGCCGCGUGUAUGAAGAAGGCCUUCGGGUUGUAAAGUACUUUCAGCAGUGAGGAAGGUGGAGUCGUUAAUAGCGGCCUCAUUUGACGUUAGCUGCAGAAGAAGCACCGGCUAACUCCGUGCCAGCAGCCGCGGUAAUACGGAGGGUGCGAGCGUUAAUCGGAAUUAUUGGGUUUAAAGGGUCCGUAGGCGGGCCGGUAAGUCAGGGGUGAAAGUCUGUAGCUCAACUAUAGAACUGCCUUUGAUACUGCCGGUCUUGAGUCACGGUGAAGUUGCCGGAAUAUGUGGUGUAGCGGUGAAAUGCAUAGAUAUCACAUAGAACACCGAUUGCGAAGGCAGGUGACUAACCGUGUACUGACGCUGAUGGACGAAAGCGUGGGGAGCGAACAGGAUUAGAUACCCUGGUAGGAUAGCC
rnacentral:rRNA from 1 species